GAAUAUCUUCAGGGCAGGGUGAAAUUCCCGACCGGCGGUAACUGCGUUUUGUAGAAGUCCGCGACCCACAUCCGUUAUUGGUGUGGCUGACACGGUGUGAAUCCGUGACCGACAGUAAAGUCUGGUAUGCAGAAGAAAAAA
rfam:Weissella confusa LBAE C39-2, WGS project CAGH01000000 data, contig: WeissC39_1_contig00002